GACGAACGCUGGCGGCGUGCUUAACACAUGCAAGUCGAACGAAGAGCGAUGGAAGCUUGCUUCUAUCAAUCUUAGUGGCGAACGGGUGAGUAACGCGUAAUCAACCUGCCCUUCAGAGGGGGACAACAGUUGGAAACGACUGCUAAUACCGCAUACGAUCCAAUCUCGGCAUCGAGGAUGGAUGAAAGGUGGCCUCUAUUUAUAAGCUAUCACUGAAGGAGGGGAGUGCGUCUGAUUAGCUAGUUGGAGGGGUAACGGCCCACCAAGGCGAUGAUCAGUAGCCGGUCUGCGAGGAUGAACGGCCACAUUGGGACUGAGACACGGCCCAGACUCCUACGGGAGGCAGCAGUGGGGAAUCUUCCGCAAUGGACGGAAGUCUGACGGAGCAACGCCGCGUGAGUGAUGACGGCCUUCGGGUUGUAAAGCUCUGUUAAUCGGGACGAAAGGUCCUCUUGCGAAUAGUUAGAGGAAUUGACGGUACCGGAAUAGAAAGCCACGGCUAACUACGUG
rnacentral:rRNA from 1 species